GACGAACGCUGGCGGCGCGCCUAACACAUGCAAGUCGAACGAGCGAGAGAGAGCUUGCUUUCUUGAGCGAGUGGCGAACGGGUGAGUAACGCGUGAGGAACCUGCCUCAAAGAGGGGGACAACAGUUGGAAACGACUGCUAAUACCGCAUAAGCCCACGGUGCCGCAUGGCACAGAGGGAAAAGGAGCAAUCCGCUUUGAGAUGGCCUCGCGUCCGAUUAGCUAGUUGGUGAGGUAACGGCCCACCAAGGCGACGAUCGGUAGCCGGACUGGGAGGUUGAACGGCCACAUUGGGACUGAGACACGGCCCAGACUCCUACGGGAGGCAGCAGUAGGGAAUAUUGCACAAUGGGGGAAACCCUGAUGCAGCGACGCCGCGUGGAGGAAGAAGGUCUUCGGAUUGUAAACUCCUGUUGUUGGGGAAGAUAAUGACGGUACCCAACAAGGAAGUGACGGCUAACUACGUG
rnacentral:rRNA from 1 species